GAUAAGCCUUGGAAACGAGGUCUAAUACCGGAUACGACCCUGAAUCGCAUGAUGCGGGGUGGAAAGUUCCGGCGGUAUGGGAUGGACCCGCGGCCUAUCAGCUUGUUGGUGGGGUAAUGGCCUACCAAGGCGACGACGGGUAGCCGGCCUGAGAGGGUGACCGGCCACACUGGGACUGAGACACGGCCCAGACUCCUACGGGAGGCAGCAGUGGGGAAUAUUGCACAAUGGGCGAAAGCCUGAUGCAGCGACGCCGCGUGAGGGAUGACGGCCUUCGGGUUGUAAACCUCUUUCAGCAGGGACGAAGCGCAAGUGACGGUACCUGCAGAAGAAGCACCGGCUAACUACGUGCCAGCAGCCGCGGUAAUACGUAGGGUGCGAGCGUUGUCCGGAAUUAUUGGGCGUAAAGAGCUCGUAGGCGGUUUGUCGCGUCGGCCGUGAAAACUUGGGGCUUAACUCCAAGCUUGCGGUCGAUACGGGCAGACUUGAGUUCGGCAGGGGAGACUGGAAUUCCUGGUGUAGCGGUGAAAUGCGCAGAUAUCAGGAGGAA
rnacentral:rRNA from 1 species